rnacentral:rRNA from 1 species
CAUGAAGUCGGAAUUGCUAGUAAUCGCAGAUCAGCAUGCUGCGGUGAAUACGUUCCCGGGCCUUGUACACACCGCCCGUCACACCAUGGGAGUCGGUAACACCCAAAGUUGGUAGCCUAACCGCAAGGAGGGCGCCGCCUAAGGUGGGAUUGAUGACUGGGGUGAAGUCGUAACAAGGUAGC